rnacentral:tRNA from 1 species
ACGGGUGUAGCUCAAUUGGCAGAGCACCGGAUUCCAAAUCCGGCGGUUGGGGGUUCAACUCCCUCCACCCGUG